UCUGCUUCGAUUAGGACCUUGGUGAUACUGUGUUAUCUCUCAUGGGCACUUUUAUUUCAUAUCUCCAAAAUGUCCUUGUUCCAAUUGGUGUUUUUUUAAAAGGUUUCUCAAGCCACAGAGUGAGAGAGUACAUCACUUCCAGCACAUCUCCUUGCUGAGGGUGGCGUUGAUCAUGCACUGCUUCUAGUGGGGCUCGAUUCGCUGUAGUCUUUACAACUGUACGCGUGCGCUCGGAUCACACUGGCACAGGAUGUCCAUGCACCGGGUGGCCUGUGUGAAGCAGUCCUGUUGGACUGGAAAACAAAGAGACAUUUGUCUGGAUCUUUCUCUUCUGUCAUGGUAGAUGAGCUACAUUUUAUGGUAAAUACAGGGCCAAUUCUCUCUCACCGGAAAAUGGCAGGUGUGAUGAUUCAUUUUAUUUUUUAUAUCGGUUUGAUUGCGGGGAGGCACUGAUAAUGUCUGCAGUUUUCGGUUUGGCUAUUUGUUUCAAGUGUAUUAGUCUAUAAAUAAAUCUCUUUGUCAAAAUUCGUCAUCUCUGCCAU
rnacentral:lncRNA from 1 species